UUUACGUGAACACUCUCAAGAUGAAGAGGGCAAGUCAACUGCAGCAAAAAACUGCUCAUGCUCUGCAUGACAGUAACACGCUGCCUACGUGGUCACCACAGGACACAAACACCGGGAGCCGAGCCACCUAAAGACAGCCGACGCAGGUGGCCCAUUGUGGAGGUGUGACAACUUUGACGGCCACGCCUACGUUAGGCUGUAAGAAGUUAAGAAUUGAUGGGCAUCAUGUUUCCACACCUGUGCUGAAAAUAGAAGACAGCAUACCUCGGGGAAAUGUUCAUGGCGGGGAACGCCAAAUUCAGCUGAGCCAAAGACUGCAUGAUGGUGACGUGAAGCGGAAUGCCAACUGGGAAGCUCUCCUUAAUGCCAGACGUAAUAGAUGAAAAGGAGCAACCAGUUUGGAUAGCAUCAUUCACCGCAAUAAAAAUGACAAGGAAAAUAGUUUGCAACUGCAAUGCCGUUACCAGAGAAGCUAAGAGUUUGCUGUGUUUGUUCUUCUCACACCACU